UACGAAGGGGGCUAGCGUUGUUCGGAAUUACUGGGCGUAAAGGGCGCGUAGGCGGUCCGGUAAGUCCGCUGUGAAAGUCGAGGGCUCAACCCUCGAAUGCCGGUGGAUACUGUCGGGCUAGAGUGCGGAAGAGGCGAGUGGAAUUCCUGGUGUAGCGGUGAAAUGCGCAGAUAUCAGGAGGAACACCUAUUGCGAAGGCAGCUCGCUGGGACGUUACUGACGCUGAGACGCGAAAGCGUGGGGAGCAAACCGG
rnacentral:rRNA from 1 species